UUUGUUAUCAGCAGAGAAUGAAACAGCGUUGCACGUGGUGUUAUGAUAUUUCAGAAUAGCCAGAGGCUUUCCUUUGCGAUAAUUGUAAAUCCUAACCCGUUGAUCCCAACCAGCAGUUGCAGCGAUUUUUCCAUCUGGACGGAUUGAGGUUCCAGAGAUGCCAGGUCGCUCAAAAACAAUUUCUUUUCUUAUCAAACAAGAACCCAUAGAAUGGUCCAAUGCAAACAUCAAAAUUUUCUCAUCAGCAGCACCAGAGAGACCACCUUUGCAUGCUCCAUCUAUGCAUAAGCUUAAAACUGGUUCUGAAUGAAGCUUGACGGAAGUCAAUGGGACUCCGGGAUUACGCAAGUCCCACCAAGCAAUGGAUCCAUCCUCGUACCCUGCCAUAACACUUAGGUGCCCCUGAG
rnacentral:misc_RNA from 1 species